UAACAAGGAUUCCCCUAGUAACUGCGAGUGAAGCGGGAAAAGCUCAAAUUUAAAAUCUGGCAGCCUUGGCUGUCCGAGUUGUAAUCUGGAGAAGCGUCUUCCGCGCUGGACCGUGUACAAGUCUCCUGGAACGGAGCGUCAUAGAGGGUGAGAAUCCCGUCUUUGACACGGACUACCAGUGCUCUGUGAUGCGCUCUCAAAGAGUCGAGUUGUUUGGGAAUGCAGCUCAAAAUGGGUGGUAAACUCCAUCUAAAGCUAAAUAUUGGCGAGAGACCGAUAGCGAACAAGUACCGUGAGGGAAAGAUGAAAAGCACUUUGGAAAGAGAGUUAAACAGUACGUGAAAUUGCUGAAAGGGAAACGCUUGAAGUCAGUCGCGUUUGCUAGGACUCAGCCUUGCCUCGGCUUGGUGCAUUUCCUAGUAGACGGGCCAGCAUCACUUUUGACUGCGGGAGAAAGGUUGGAGGAAUGUGGCACCUUCGGGUGUGUUAUAGCCUCUAGCUGUAUGCCGUGGUUGGGAGUGAGGAACUCAGCACGCCGCAAGGCGGGGCUUCGGCCACCUUCGUGCUUAGGAUGCUGGCGUAAUGGCUUUAAACGAC
rnacentral:rRNA from 1 species